rnacentral:rRNA from 1 species
GGAGUCUGGUCCGUGUCUCAGUACCAGUGUGGGGGACCUUCCUCUCAGAACCCCUACCGAUCGAUGCCCCGGUGGGCCGUUACCCCGCCGGCAAGCUAAUCAGACGCAUCCCCAUCAUAUACCGUCAAACUUUGAUUCCAGUUGGAUGUCCGCAAGGAAUCUCAUCGGGGGUUAAUUCGGUUUUCACCGGGCUAUCCCCGAGUAUAUGGCAGGUUGGAUACGCGUUACUCACCCGUGCGCCGGUCGCCGUCAUACUGGUGCAAGCACCUGUACACGCUGCCCCUCGACUUGCAUGUGUUAAGCCUGUAGCUAGCGUUCAUCCUGAGCCAUGACAAACUCU